ACGAACGCUGGCGGCGUGCUUAACACCUGCAAGUCGAACGGAAAGGCCCUGCUUGCAGGGUACUCGAGUGGCGAACGGGUGAGUAACACGUGGGUGAUCUGCCCUGCACUUCGGGAUAAGCUUGGGAAACUGGGUCUAAUACCGGAUAGGAGCCAUCUUUAGUGUGGUGGUUGGAAAGUUUUUUCGGUGUAGGAUGAGCUCGCGGCCUAUCAGCUUGUUGGUGGGGUAAUGGCCUACCAAGGCGGCGACGGGUAGCCGGCCUGAGAGGGUGUACGGCCACAUUGGGACUGAGAUACGGCCCAGACUCCUACGGGAGGCAGCAGUGGGGAAUAUUGCACAAUGGGCGCAAGCCUGAUGCAGCGACGCCGCGUGGGGGAUGAAGGCCUUCGGGUUGUAAACUCCUUUCGCUAGGGACGAAGCUUUGUUGUGACGGUACCUAGAGAAGAAGCACCGGCUAACUACGUG
rnacentral:rRNA from 1 species